UAGGGAAUCUUCGGCAAUGGACGAAAGUCUGACCGAGCAACGCCGCGUGAGUGAAGAAGGUUUUCGGAUCGUAAAACUCUGUUGUUAGAGAAGAACAAGGACGUUAGUAACUGAACGUCCCCUGACGGUAUCUAACCAGAAAGCCACGGCUAACUACGUGCCAGCAGCCGCGGUAAUACGUAGGUGGCAAGCGUUGUCCGGAUUUAUUGGGCGUAAAGCGAGCGCAGGCGGUUUCUUAAGUCUGAUGUGAAAGCCCCCGGCUCAACCGGGGAGGGUCAUUGGACACUGGGAGACUUGAGUGCAGAAGAGGAGAGUGGAAUUCCAUGUGUAGCGGUGAAAUGCGUAGAUAUAUGGAGGAACACCAGUGGCGAAGGCGGCUCUCUGGUCUGUAACUGACGCUGAGGCUCGAAAGCGUGGGGAGCAAACAGG
rnacentral:rRNA from 1 species